rnacentral:rRNA from 1 species
CGUGGGUAACCUGCCUGUAAGACUGGGAUAACUCCGGGAAACCGGGGCUAAUACCGGAUGCUUGUUUGAACCGCAUGGUUCAAACAUAAAAGGUGGCUUCGGCUACCACUUACAGAUGGACCCGCGGCGCAUUAGCUAGUUGGUGAGGUAAUGGCUCACCAAGGCAACGAUGCGUAGCCGACCUGAGAGGGUGAUCGGCCACACUGGGACUGAGACACGGCCCAGACUCCUACGGGAGGCAGCAGUAGGGAAUCUUCCGCAAUGGACGAAAGUCUGACGGAGCAACGCCGCGUGAGUGAUGAAGGUUUUCGGAUCGUAAAGCUCUGUUGUUAGGGAAGAACAAGUACCGUUCGAAUAGGGCGGUACCUUGACGGUACCUAACCAGAAAGCCACGGCUAACUACGUGCCAGCAGCCGCGGUAAUACGUAGGUGGCAAGCGUUGUCCGGAAUUAUUGGGCGUAAGGGCUCGCAGGCGGUUCCUUAAGUCUGAUGUGAAGCCCCCGGCUCAACCGGGGAGGGUCAUUGGAACUGGGGAACUUGAGUGCAGAAGAGGAGAGUGGAAUUCCACGUGUAGCGGUGAAUGCGUAGAGAUGUGGAGGAACACCAGUGGCGAAGG